CCGGCACGGGUGGAGUAACACGUAUGCAAUCCACCUGUAACAGGGGGAGUAACCCGGAGAAAUCGGACUAAUACCCAUAAUAUGGGCGCUCCGCAUGGAGAGCCCAUUAAAGAGAGCAAUUUUGGUUACAGACGAGCAUGCGCUCCAUUAGCCAGUUGGCGGGGUAACGGCCCACCAAAGCGACGAUGGAUAGGGGUUCUGAGAGGAAGGUCCCCCACAUUGGAACUGAGACACGGUCCAA
rnacentral:rRNA from 1 species